CCUACGGGAGGCAGCAGUGAGGAAUAUUGGUCAAUGGCCGAGAGGCUGAACCAGCCAAGUCGCGUGAGGGAAGACGGCCCUACGGGUUGUAAACCUCUUUUGUCGGGGAGCAAAGCGAGUCCCGUGUGACUCAUUGAGAGUACCCGAAGAAAAAGCAUCGGCUAACUCCGUGCCAGCAGCCGCGGUAAUACGGAGGAUGCGAGCGUUAUCCGGAUGUAUUGGGGUUAAGGGGUGCGCAGGCGGAGGUGCAAGUCAGAGGGAAAAUUGCGGGGCUCAACCCCGUACUGCCGUUGAAACUGCAUCCCUUGAGUGCGCGAGAGGUAUGCGGAAUGCGUGGUGUAGCGGUGAAAUGCAUAGAUAGCACGAAGAACUCCGAUGGCGAAGGCAGCAUACCGGCGCGCAACUGACGCUCAUGCACGAAAGCGUGGGUAUCGAACAGGAUUAGAUACCCGAGUAGUC
rnacentral:rRNA from 1 species